rnacentral:rRNA from 1 species
AUUGAACGCUGGCGGCAGGCCUAACACAUGCAAGUCGAACGGUAGCACAGAGAGCUUGCUCUCGGGUGACGAGUGGCGGACGGGUGAGUAACGUCUGGGAAACUGCCCGAUGGAGGGGGAUAACUACUGGAAACGGUAGCUAAUACCGCAUAACGUCGCAAGACCAAAGUGGGGGACCUUCGGGCCUCACACCAUCGGAUGUGCCCAGAUGGGAUUAGCUAGUAGGUGGGGUAAUGGCUCACCUAGGCGACGAUCCCUAGCUGGUCUGAGAGGAGGAACGGCCACACUGGAACUGGGACACGGUCCAGACUCCUACGGGAGGCAGCAGUGGGGAAUAUUGCACAAUGGGCGCAAGCCUGAUGCAGCCAUGCCGCGUGUAUGAAGAAGGCCUUCGGGUUGUAAAGUACUUUCAGCGGGGAGGAAGGCGGUGAAGUUAAUAGCUUCACCGAUUGACGUUACCCGCAGAAGAAGCACCGGCUAACUCCGUGCCAGCCGCCGCUGUAA